rnacentral:rRNA from 1 species
ACUCAAAUGAAUAGACGGGGGCCCGCACAAGCGGUGGAGCAUGUGGUUUAAUUCGACGCAACGCGAAGAACCUUACCUGGGCUCGAACGGCUUUAGAUCAGCUUUGGAAACAGAGCCUUCCCGCAAGGGACUGGAGUCGAGGUGCUGCAUGGCUGUCGUCAGCUCGUGUCGUGAGAUGUUGGGUUAAGUCCCGCAACGAGCGCAACCCUUGUCCUGUGUUGCCAUUUAUGGAACUCGCAGGAGACCGCCAGGGAUAACCUGGAGGAAGGUGGGGAUGACGUCAAGUCCUCAUGGCCUUUAUGUCCAGGGCUACACACGUGCUACAAUGGGCGGUACAAAGGGUCGCCAACCCGCAAGGGGGAGCCAAUCCCAAAAAACCGUCCUCAGUUCGGAUUGCAGGCUGCAACUCGCCUGCAUGAAGCUGGAAUCGCUAGUAAUGGCGGAUCAGAACGCCGCCGUGAAUACGUUCCCGGGCCUUGUACACACCGCCCGU